UCAAGCCUCAGGGAGGGCUGAGCCUUUUGCGGCAUUUUGGGAAUAGCCAAUCAGGAGGGAAGGAAUGUGAUGGAUGAGCUGCUGUGUUCUAACCUCUGUGAGGUGAAAACACAGGAAUCCCCAAAGGUUUCGGGGUGGAAGCCCUGGGCCACCUGGAGUUUGUGUGGACCUGGUGCCAGUUUCCUGUGCACACUACCCACGUGUGAAUACAGUGUUAUGUGCAUUGCCAGCUGUGAAGACCUUGUAUAAGUCAAGUCUCAACCAGGGCCCUGGCUGUGUUUCUUCUGCUCUGGUGUGGGCCAGGGAGAGGCUCCGACAUCUGCUACAGCCUUCAGAGGCCACGCACAACAGCUGCCCCUCCUUCCCUCCCUAAAGCUCUCCCAAGAUUAAGACCGGAGGCCUGGUGCUUCAUUACAAAGGGCCCCACAACAUGGCUCCUAGGAAGAUGUUCCUAUUGCCAUAGAGACCUGUGCACCCCUGGGCUCCUGCAGAAACGUUCCAUCUCUCUGUUAGAGUUCGAUCUAGAAGUCUGGCUUGUCACACAGAGAGCCUAUUUUAAGUUUAACCAAGUUAAUGUUGCCCCGAUGGCUUUCUUUUCUUUUAGUGAACACUCACGUUAAUUUGUUUGCCACUUAAACCUUGGCUUCGGAGUUUCAUUUUUUUGUUUGAAGCAAGGUGCUCCUCUCAUCCACUGCCGAGGGGAUGCCUCCUUUUUGUACCAAGUACAAUUUAGCUAAUAAACCUUUUGAAGAAGAAUCAUUGAAA